rnacentral:lncRNA from 1 species
UUUUGACCUCGCGUGCGGUUUACUUCCAAACAGACGUUUACCUUUUUGGAAAAAGUGCGCGCUCCACUCGCUUCUCCACCGCUGUGAUCCUCCUGUCGGCUUCAAAAUGGCGCCAAUUUGUCCCUAUCUGCACCAGUCAGUGCAGCUCUGCUCAACACAGACGCUUCUCCCUCCUCCUCCACUCGCGGUUAUUUAUUUAACAGCAUAACUGCGUGCUUUGAGAUUAUAUUGGCAGUUUUGCUGUUAGAAACAGAAACAAGUUGCUGUAAUAGUGACGGAAAUGGCUUGUGUAAAAGCGAGCGUUUGUGUGGAGUCGCGGGCAGGUUGGAGUGUGGUGUAACAGCGACUCCUACAGGACAUGAGAAGAAUAACAGCCAGUCUCCGCCUUCAUUUGACAGUCGUGUGCAUCCCCAAGGAGAGCAGAAUCAAAUGCAUAUCUGUUGUCUU